CAGGCCUAACACAUGCAAGUCGAACGCACCUUCGGGUGAGUGGCAGACGGGUGAGUAACACGUGGGAACGUGCCCUUCGGUUCGGAAUAACUCAGGGAAACUUGAGCUAAUACCGGAUACGCCCUUUGGGGGAAAGGUUUACUGCCGAAGGAUCGGCCCGCGUCUGAUUAGCUAGUUGGUGGGGUAAUGGCCUACCAAGGCGACGAUCAGUAGCUGGUCUGAGAGGAUGAUCAGCCACACUGGGACUGAGACACGGCCCAGACUCCUACGGGAGGCAGCAGUGGGGAAUAUUGGACAAUGGGCGAAAGCCUGAUCCAGCCAUGCCGCGUGAGUGAUGAAGGCCUUAGGGUUGUAAAGCUCUUUUGUCCGGGAAGAUAAAAACUGUACCGGGAGAAUAAGCCCCGGCUAACUUCGUGUCCAGCAGCCGCGUAAU
rnacentral:rRNA from 1 species